rnacentral:rRNA from 1 species
UACGUAGGGGGCAAGCGUUGUCCGGAUUUAUUGGGCGUAAAGAGCGUGUAGGCGGCUUGAUAGGUCCGUUGUGAAAACUCGAGGCUCAACCUCGAGACGCCGAUGGAAACCAUCUGGCUAGAGUCCGGAAGAGGAGAGUGGAAUUCCUGGUGUAGCGGUGAAAUGCGCAGAUAUCAGGAGGAACACCAAUGGCGAAGGCAGCUCGCUGGAACGGUACUGACGCUGAGGCGCGAAAGCGUGGGGAGCAAACAGG